rnacentral:rRNA from 1 species
GCAUAUCAAUAAGCGGAGGAAAAGAAACUAACAAGGAUUCCCCUAGUAGCUGCGAGUGAACCGGGAAGAGCUCAAAUUUAAAAUCUGGCGGUUCUGCCGUCCGAGUUGUAGUCUGGAGAAGUGUUAUCUGCGUCGGACCGUGUACAAGUCUCCUGGAAUGGAGCGUCGUAGAGGGUGAGAAUCCCGUCCAUAACACGGAGCUCCCGAUGCUUUGUGAGGCACUCUCAAAGAGUCGAGUUGUUUGGGAAUGCAGCUCAAAAUGGGUGGUAAAUUCCAUCUAAAGCUAAAUAUUGGCGAGAGACCGAUAGCGAACAAGUACCGUGAGGGAAAGAUGAAAAGCACUUUGGAAAGAGAGUUAAACAGUACGUGAAAUUGUUGAAAGGGAAACGCUUGAAGUCAGUCGCGUCCCGUGGAACUCAGCCUGGCCUCGGCUUGGUGUACUUUCCAUGGGACGGGUCAACAUCAAUUUCGGCCGGUGGAAAAGGGCGAGGGGAAUGUAGCGUCGUUUCGGCGGCGUGUUAUAGCCCCUUGUCGCAUACGCUGGCUGGGAUUGAGGACUGCAGCACGCCCUUGUGGCCGGGGUUCGCCCACGUAACGUGCUUAGGAUGUUGGCAUAAUGGCUUUAAGCGACCCGUCUUGAAACACGGACC